rnacentral:rRNA from 1 species
CCUACGGGGGGCAGCAGUGAGGAAUAUUGGUCAAUGGCCGGAAGGCUGAACCAGCCAUGCCGCGUGAAGGUCAGUGCCCUAUGGGCGUUAAACUUCUUUUGUGCGGGAGCAAUAAUGGUCACGUGUGGCCAGACGAGAGUACCGUACGAAUAAGCAUCGGCUAACUCCGUUCCAGCAGCCGCGGUAAUACGGGGGAUGCAAGCGUUAUCCGGGGUUAUUGGGGUUAAAGGGUGCGUAGGCUGUGAGGUAAGUCAGCGGUGAAAUGCCCCCGCUCAAAGGGGUGAAGUGCCAUUGAUACUGCCUUGCUGGAGUGCGGAUGCCGUGGGAGGAAUGUGUGGUGUAGCGGUGAAAUGCAUAGAUAUCACACAGAACACCGAUUGCGAAGGCAUCACACGAAUCCGCGAUUGACGCUGAGGCACGAAAGCGUGGGUAUCAAACAGGAUUAGAUACCCGUGUAGUC